rnacentral:rRNA from 1 species
GUCGAACGAUGAUGCCCAGCUUGCUGGGCGGAUUAGUGGCGAACGGGUGAGUAAUACGUGAGUAACCUGCCCUUGACUCUGGGAUAAGCCUGGGAAACUGGGUCUAAUACUGGAUACUACCUCUUACCGCAUGGUGGGUGGUGGAAAGGGUUUUACUGGUUUUGGAUGGGCUCACGGCCUAUCAGCUUGUUGGUGGGGUAAUGGCUCACCAAGGCGACGACGGGUAGCCGGCCUGAGAGGGUGACCGGCCACACUGGGACUGAGACACGGCCCAGACUCCUACGGGAGGCAGCAGUGGGGAAUAUUGCACAAUGGGCGGAAGCCUGAUGCAGCGACGCCGCGUGAGGGAUGACGGCCUUCGGGUUGUAAACCUCUUUCAGUAGGGAAGAAGCGAGAGUGACGGUACCUGCAGAAGAAGCGCCGGCUAACUACGUGCCAGCAGCCGCGGUAAUACGUAGGGCGCAAGCGUUGUCCGGAAUUAUUGGGCGUAAAGAGCUCGUAGGCGGUUUGUCGCGUCUGCUGUGAAAGCCCGGGGCUCAACCCCGGGUCUGCAGUGGGUACGGGCAGACUAGAGUGCAGUAGGGGAGACUGGAAUUCCUGGUGUAGCGGUGAAAUGCGCAGAUAUCAGGAGGAACACCGAUGGCGAAGGCAGGUCUCUGGGCUGUUACUGACGCUGAGGAGCGAAAGCAUGGGGAGCGAACA